AGGAGAGUUUGAUCCUGGCUCAGGAUGAACGCUAGCGGCAGGCUUAACACAUGCAAGUCGAGGGGCAGCGGGGUGUAGCAAUACACCGCCGGCGACCGGCGCACGGGUGCGUAACGCGUAUGCAACCUGCCCGUAACAGGGGGAUAACGGGGAGAAAUUCCCACUAAUACCCCGUAUAGCGGAGGAGCCGCAUGGUUCUUCCGCGAAAGCUUCGGCGGUUACGGAUGGGCAUGCGUGCAUUAGGUAGUUGGCGGGGCAACGGCCCACCAAGCCUACGAUGCCUAGGGGAGCUGAGAGGCUUAUCCCCCACACUGGUACUGAGACACGGACCAGACUCCUACGGGAGGCAGCAGUGAGGAAUAUUGGUCAAUGGACGGAAGUCUGAACCAGCCAUGCCGCGUGCGGGAAGACGGCCCUAUGGGUUGUAAACCGCUUUUCCCCGGGAGUAAUAAGGGCCGUGCGCGGUCCGAUGAGAGUACCGGGGGAAUAAGCAUCGGCUAACUCCGUGCCAGCAGCCGCGGUAAUACGGAGGAUGCAAGCGUUAUCCGGAUUUAUUGGGUUUAAAGGGUGCGUAGGCGGACCGUUAAGUCAGCGGUGAAAUGUCCCGGCUCAACCGGGGAGCUGCCGUUGAUACUGGCGGACUAGGGUCCAAACGGCGCCGGCGGAAUAUGUAAUGUAGCGGUGAAAUGCAUAGAUAUUACAUAGAACACCGAUCGCGAAGGCAGCUGGCGAGGAUGGCACUGACGCUGAGGCACGAAGGCGUGGGGAUCGAACAGGAUUAGAUACCCUGGUAGUCCCCU
rnacentral:rRNA from 1 species